GAUGAACGCUGGCGGCGUGCCUAAUACAUGCAAGUCGAGCGAACAGACGAGGAGCUUGCUCCUCUGACGUUAGCGGCGGACGGGUGAGUAACACGUGGAUAACCUACCUAUAAGACUGGGAUAACUUCGGGAAACCGGAGCUAAUACCGGAUAAUAUAUUGAACCGCAUGGUUCAAUAGUGAAAGACGGUUUUGCUGUCACUUAUAGAUGGAUCCGCGCCGCAUUAGCUAGUUGGUAAGGUAACGGCUUACCAAGGCAACGAUGCGUAGCCGACCUGAGAGGGUGAUCGGCCACACUGGAACUGAGACACGGUCCAGACUCCUACGGGAGGCAGCAGUAGGGAAUCUUCCGCACUGGGCGAAAGCCUGACGGAGCAACGCCGCGUGAGUGAUGAAGGUCUUCGGAUCGUAAAACUCUGUUAUUAGGGAAGAACAAAUGUGUAAGUAACUAUGCACGUCUUGACGGUACCUAAUCAGAAAGCCACGGCUAACUACGUG
rnacentral:rRNA from 1 species